rnacentral:lncRNA from 1 species
AGAAAUUAGCAUUUUGUAGCCCAAAUUUUGCCAUCCAGAACAUACUCAGAAAAAAAAAAAAUUCAAAGAAUGGUAAUUUCUUCUGUCAAAAAAAGGAACCCAGGGAUACCACGCUACAGAUGUCUACAAAACUUAGGUCAGGAAACGUGAUCCUGGCUGGCAGAGCUGAUGAGGGGAUGCUGAGCUGUUUUACCACAGGCCUCUGCUUAGAAACUAAUGGUUUUUGUUUUACAAAACCAAAGCUGAAACUAUGGAGCCUGCUUAUUUUCAUCAACCAUAGGUGGACACCCAAUGUACGGCUGAGAGAAAACUUGGGACCCCAGAGGGCUGCCCAGGCGGGGACUUGGUACCAGAAGUUUCCCCUUGUGCCCCUCCUAACCUGAGCUGCUCUCCUGGGUUAAGGCAAAACUUCGAGACUUUUCAUUUUUCAGAAGCUUGAAGCCUCGCCUUCUUGAUUCUUUCAAUAGGGUGUAAUUAAAAUAAGGGAAAGCUUGGACUGCCCCAGCUUUGCUACAAAAAAUGAGACUAAGUUCAUCAGCUCUGAAGAGAUGGGCACCAGCUCCUUCCAGCUGGAAGUCUCCCUUAAGUUACUGGAGGCCUAGUGGAAUGUCAAGGAGGUGGUCCCUUUCUGAUGCGUCCAGCUACACAGGUGACUCCAACCAGAUAAUGAAAAUAGGAAAAGAUGGGAAGCACAUAUGAGGGAGGAUCACCCUGUGCUUUGAAUU